rnacentral:rRNA from 1 species
AUGGCCCUUGAUGUCCUGGGCUGCACACGUGGUACAAUGGUUGGUACAAUGGGUCAAAGCCGCAAGGCGGAGAAUAAUCCCACCAAAGCCAACCUCAGUUCGGAUUGAGGGCUGAAACUCGCCCUCAUGAAGCUGGAAUCGCUAGUAAUCGCCAAUCAGCUAUGUGGCGAUGAAUACGUUCCUGAGUCUUGUACUCACCGCCCGUCAAGCCAAGCAAGCUGGGGAUAGCCGAAGUUCCGCGCAAGCGGGCCUAAGCUGGAUUCAGUAAGAGGGGCUAAGUCGUAACAAGGCACGGGUAGGGGAACCUGCUCGUGGAUCA